GACGAACGCUGGCGGCGUGCUUAACACAUGCAAGUCGAGCGGUAAGGCCCUUUCGGGGGUACACGAGCGGCGAACGGGUGAGUAACACGUGGGUGACCUGCCCUCAGCUCUGGGAUAAGCCUGGGAGACCGGGUCUAAUACUGGAUAUGACUCCAUGACGCAUGUUGUGGGGUGGAAAGCCUUGUGCGGCUGAGGAUGGGCCCGCGGCCUAUCAGCUUGUUGGUGGGGGAUGGCCUACCAAGGCGACGACGGGUAGCCGGCCUGAGAGGGCGACCGGCCACACUGGGACUGAGACACGGCCCAGACUCCUACGGGAGGCAGCAGUGGGGAAUCUUGCGC
rnacentral:rRNA from 1 species